UACGGGGGGGGGCAAGCGUUGUUCGGAAUUACUGGGCGUAAAGGGCGCGUAGGCGGCUUGGCAAGUGGAUGGUGAAAUCCCUCGGCUUAACCGAGGAACUGCCGUCCAAACUGCUUCGCUUGAGACCGGGAGAGGUGAGUGGAAUUCCCAGUGUAGCGGUGAAAUGCGUAGAUAUUGGGAGGAACACCAGUGGCGAAGGGCGG
rnacentral:rRNA from 1 species